rnacentral:lncRNA from 1 species
GGACACCGUCAGUAAGAGUAGGGGGUCUCUCCUGUGUGCUGGAGGGGGUCUCUCCUGUGUGCUGGAGGGGGUCUCUCCUGUGUGCGGGGGGCUGGAGGGGGUCUCUCCUGUGUGCGGGGGGCUGGAGGGGGUCUCUCCUGUGUGCUGGAGGGGGUCUCUCCUGUGUCCGGGGGGCUGGAGGGGGUCUCUCCUGUGUCCGGGGGGCUGUGCUUCAGCUCUGUGGUUCCCCCCUCCUCAGGCUUGCCAGCGGGGUUCCCAGCUCUGAGACGAACCGAGAGAGGAGAGCUGCUGAGACAGAGCGAGGAGACUGAGCAGAUGGGGGGGGCGGAACCCAGCUCGCCGGGCAGUCGUGGCCGGAGGACGCAUUUCCAGGACGGACCGCGGCAGGAAGUGACGCCACAAUGGACCCCUCCGGGAAACACUGGGCUGGACGUCUCGGAGCUGAGGAGCAAACUGAGGAAGACACAGGGGGACUGAGGAAGAGCGGGAGAGACUGAGGAAGAGGAGGAGAGACUGAGGAAGACAGAAAGACUGAGGAAGAGCAGGAGAGACUGAGGAGGACAGAGAGACUGAGGAAGACACAGGGGGACUGAGGAAGAGCUGGAGAGACUGAGGAAGACACAGGGGGGCUGAGGAAGAGCAGGAGAGACGAAGGAAGAGC